ensembl:snRNA U2 U2 spliceosomal RNA
AUCACUUGUUGGCCUUUUGGCUAAGAUCAAGUGUAGUAUCUGUUCUUAUCUGUUUAAGAAAGCCUGUUGAAAUAUACCAUGGAGCCUUCAGUGAAGUUCUUCUUGAUGGAUAAUGUGGGCCUCAGGGUCAAGAAUGUAUCUUUCAGAGGCUGGCACUGUGGCGUAGCAGGUAAAGCCGCUGCCUGCAGUGCCGGCAUC